GUGGGGAAUCUUGCGCAAUGGGCGAAAGCCUGACGCAGCCAUGCCGCGUGAAUGAUGAAGGUCUUAGGAUUGUAAAAUUCUUUCACCGGGGACGAUAAUGACGGUACCCGGAGAAGAAGCCCCGGCUAACUUCGUGCCAGCAGCCGCGGUAAUACGAAGGGGGCUAGCGUUGCUCGGAAUUACUGGGCGUAAAGGGCGCGUAGGCGGACAUUUAAGUCAGGGGUGAAAUCCCGGGGCUCAACCUCGGAACUGCCUUUGAUACUGGGUGUCUUGAGUAUGAGAGAGGUGUGUGGAACUCCGAGUGUAGAGGUGAAAUUCGUAGAUAUUCGGAAGAACACCAGUGGCGAAGGCGACACACUGGCUCAUUACUGACGCUGAGGCGCGAAAGCGUGGGGAGCAAACAGGAUUAGAUACCCUAGUAGUCC
rnacentral:rRNA from 1 species